rnacentral:siRNA from 1 species
UCAUCGAUGAUGGUGUCGGCAU